rnacentral:rRNA from 1 species
ACGGGGUGCAGCAGGCGAGAAAACUUUGCAAUGUGCGAAGGCACGACAAGGUUAAUCCGAGUGAUUCCUGCUAAAGGAAUCUUUUGUUAGUCAUAAAACCACUAAUGAAUAAGGGGUGGGCAAGUUCUGGUGUCAGCCGCCGCGGUAAAACCAGCACCUCAAGUGGUCAGGAUGAUUAUUGGGCCUAAAGCAUCCGUAGCCGGCUUUGUUAGUUUUCGGUUAAAUCCAUAUGCUCAACAUAUGGGCCGCCGGGAAUACUACAAAGCUAGGGAGUGGGAGGGGUAGACGGUACUCGGGAGGAAGGGGUAAAAUCCUUUGAUCUAUGGAUGACCACCAGUGGCGAAGGCGGUCUACCAGAACACGUUCGACGGUGAGGGAUGAAAGCUGGAGGAGCAAACUGGAUUAGAUACCCGGGUAGUCCCAGCUGUAAACUAUGCAAACUCAGUGAUGCAUUGGCUUGUGGCCAGUGCAGUGCCGCAGAGAAGUCGUUAAGUUUGCCGCCUGGGAAGUACGUACGCAAGUAUGAAACUUAAAGGAAUUGGCGGGGGAGCAC